rnacentral:rRNA from 1 species
AUACGUAGGGUGCAAGCGUUAAUCGGAAUUACUGGGCGUAAAGCGUGCGCAGGCGGGUUUGUAAGACAGCGGUGAAAUCCCCGGGCUCCACCUGGGAACUGCCUUUGCGACUGCCAGGCUAGAGUACGGCAGAGGGGGACGGAAUUCUGCGGGUAGCAGUGAAAUGCGUAGAUAUGCGGAGGAACACCGAUGGCGAAGGCAAUCCCCUGGGCCUGUACUGACGCUCAUGCACGAAAGCGUGGGGAGCAAACAGGAUUAGAUACCCUGGUAGUCCACGCCCUAAACGAUGUCAACUGGUUGUUGGGUCUUCAUUGACUCAGUAACGAAGCUAACGCGUGAAGUUGACCGCCUGGGGAGUACGGCCGCAAGGCUGAAACUCAAAUGAAUUGACGGGG